rnacentral:rRNA from 1 species
AACGAACGCUGGCGGCAGGCCUAACACAUGCAAGUCGAACGCGUCCUUCGGGACGAGUGGCAGACGGGUGAGUAACGCGUGGGAACGUACCCUUUGGUUCGGAACAACAGCGGGAAACUGCUGCUAAUACCGGAUAAGCCCUUCGGGGAAGAUUUAUCGCCAGAGGAUCGGCCCGCGUUAGAUUAGCUUGCUGGUGAGGUAAUGGCUCACCAAGGCUACGAUCUAUAGCUGGUCUGAGAGGAUGAUCAGCCACACUGGGACUGAGACACGGCCCAGACUCUUACGGGAGGCAGCAGUGGGGAAUCUUGGACAAUGGGGCGAAAGCCUGAUCCAGCCAUGCCGCGUGAAUGAUGAAGGCCCUAGGGUUGUAAAAUUCUUUCGACGGGGAAGGAUAAUGACGGUACCCGUAGAAGAAGCUCCGGCUAACUUCGUGCCAGCAGCCGCGGUAA